rnacentral:rRNA from 1 species
CUGCGAAUGGCUCAUUAUAUAAGUUAUCGUUUAUUUGAUAGUACCUUACUACUUGGAUAACCGUGGUAAUUCUAGAGCUAAUACAUGCUAAAAAUCCCGACUUCGGAAGGGAUGUAUUUAUUAGAUUAAAAACCAAUGCCCUCUGGGCUCUCUGGUGAUUCAUAAUAACUUCUCGAAUCGCAUGGCCUUGCGCCGGCGAUGGUUCAUUCAAAUUUCUUCCCUAUCAACUUUCGAUGUUUGGGUAGUGGCCAAACAUGGUUGCAACGGGUAACGGAGGGUUAGGGCUCGACCCCGGAGAAGGAGCCUGAGAAACGGCUACUACAUCCAAGGAAGGCAGCAGGCGCGCAAAUUACCCAAUCCCGAUUCGGGGAGGUAGUGACAAUAAAUACUGAUACAGGGCUCUUUUGGGUCUUGUAAUUGGAAUGAGUACAAUUUAAAUCCCUUAACGAGGAACAAUUGGAGGGCAAGUCUGGUGCCAGCAGCCGCGGUAAUUCCAGCUCCAAUAGCGUAUAUUAAAGUUGUUGUGGUUAAAAAGCUCGUAGUUGAACCUUGGGCCUGGCUGGCCGGUCCGCCUCACCGCGUGUACUGGUCCGGCCGGGCCUUUCCCUCUGCGGAACCCCAUGCCCUUCACUGGGUGUGGCGGGGAAGCAGGACUUUUACUUUGAAAAAAUUAGAGUGCUCCAGGCAGGCCUAUGCUCGAAUACAUUAGCAUGGAAUAAUGAAAUAGGACGUGCGGUUCUAUUUUGUUGGUUUCUAGGACCGCCGUAAUGAUUAAUAGGGACAGUCGGGGGCAUCAGUAUUCAAUUGUCAGAGGUGAAAUUCUUGGAUUUAUUGAAGACUAACUACUGCGAAAGCAUUUGCCAAGGAUGUUUUCAUUAAUCAGGAACGAAAGUUAGGGGAUCGAAGACGAUCAGAUACCGUCGUAGUCUUAACCAUAAACUAUGCCGACUAGGGAUCGGACGAUGUUAUUUUUUGACUCGUUCGGCACCUUACGAGAAAUCAAAGUGC